rfam:Ixodes scapularis strain Wikel colony gcontig_1108379064650, whole genome shotgun sequence.
CCCUGGUUAGCUCAGUUGGUAGAGCGCUCCACUAGAAAUGGAGAGGUCCUGGGUUUAAUAUCCAGACCAGGCA